rnacentral:rRNA from 1 species
GUGCACGCUGGCGGUAGGCCUAACACCUGCCAGUCGCACGGCAGCACAGUAAGAGCUUGCUCUUACGGGUGGCGAGUGGCGGACGGGUGAGGGAUACAUCGGAAUCUACUUUUUCGUGGGGGAUAACGUAGGGAAACUUACGCUAAUACCGCAUACGACCUACGGGUGAAAGCAGGGGAUCUUCGGACCUUGCGCGAUUGAAUGAGCCGAUGUCGGAUUAGCUAGUUGGCGGGGUAAAGGCCCACCAAGGCGACGAUCCGUAGCUGGUCUGAGAGGAUGAUCAGCCACACUGGAACUGAGACACGGUCCAGACUCCUACGGGAGGCAGCAGUGGGGAAUAUUGGACAAUGGGCGCAAGCCUGAUCCAGCCAUACCGCGUGGGUGAAGAAGGCCUUCGGGUUGUAAAGCCCUUUUGUUGGGAAAGAAAAGCAGCAGGUUAAUACCCCGCUGUUCUGACGGUACCCAAAGAAUAAGCACCGGCUAACUUCGUG